UCAGCGUGCAGAAAUCGAAAGACCUCAUUGUCGUUUUCCGGUGUGGAGAGAUACCACACCACACAAGUUCGUGGUGGAAAAGAAGAAAAAAAAUAGUUUUGUCGCCCGGAAGAAAACCGCGUGGGAAGUGCGCCUAGGAGAUCCGAACCACAGCCACUACACGGUGAAUAGCCAGGCCAGGCCACGUGCAGCCACUGCACCGGUCCAUUCGAGGACGGAAAAGGCAUCAAGCCUAAAAAGGGUAGCCCCAGCUGGGAAUCCCGGUCCGGGAGAAGACAAGAAAGAACGGCAAAAGGGUCGCGCAGGC